rnacentral:rRNA from 1 species
GAUGAACGCUGACGGCGUGCCUAAUACAUGCAAGUCGAGCGAACGGACGAGAAGCUUGCUUCUCUGAUGUUAGCGGCGGACGGGUGAGUAACACGUGGAUAACCUACCUAUAAGACUGGGAUAACUUCGGGAAACCGGAGCUAAUACCGGAUAAUAUUUUGAACCGCAUGGUUCAAUAGUGAAAGACGGUCUUGCUGUCACUUAUAGAUGGAUCCGCGCUGCAUUAGCUAGUUGGUAAGGUAACGGCUUACCAAGGCAACGAUGCAUAGCCGACCUGAGAGGGUGAUCGGCCACACUGGAACUGAGACACGGUCCAGACUCCUACGGGAGGCAGCAGUAGGGAAUCUUCCGCAAUGGGCGAAAGCCUGACGGAGCAACGCCGCGUGAGUGAUGAAGGUCUUCGGAUCGUAAAACUCUGUUAUUAGGGAAGAACAAAUGUGUAAGUAACUGUGCACAUCUUGACGGUACCUAAUCAGAAAGCCACGGCUAACUACGUG